rnacentral:rRNA from 1 species
GACGAACGCUGGCGGCGUGCUUAACACAUGCAAGUCGAACGGAAAGGCCCUGCUUUUGUGGGGUGCUCGAGUGGCGAACGGGUGAGUAACACGUGAGUAACCUGCCCUUGACUUUGGGAUAACUUCAGGAAACUGGGGCUAAUACCGGAUAGGAGCUCCUGCUGCAUGGUGGGGGUUGGAAAGUUUCGGCGGUUGGGGAUGGACUCGCGGCUUAUCAGCUUGUUGGUGGGGUAGUGGCUUACCAAGGCUUUGACGGGUAGCCGGCCUGAGAGGGUGACCGGCAACUUGGGGCUUGGGAAAGGCCCAGGCCCCCUAGGGGGGGAAGCGGGGGGGAAUGUGGAAAAGUGGGGGGAGGCCGGAUGAAGCAACGCCCGGGGGGGGAGGCCGGCCUGCGGGUUGUAACCCGCUUCCGCCUGGGACGAAGGGGGGGUGCGGGUAGGGGGAAAAAAACCCCCGGCAAACUACGUC